rnacentral:rRNA from 1 species
GAACGAGAAAGGGGAGCAAUCCCUGAGUAAAGUGGCGACCGGGUGAGUAACACGUGACUAACCUGCCUUCGAGUGGGGGAUAACCUCGGGAAACCGGGGCUAAUACCGCAUAAUGCCUUCGGGUUAAAGGAGCAAUCCGCUUGAAGAGGGGGUCGCGGCUGAUUAGCUAGUUGGCGGGGUAACGGCCCACCAAGGCGAUGAUCGGUAGCCGGCCUGAGAGGGCGCACGGCCACACUGGAACUGAAACACGGUCCAGACUCCUACGGGAGGCAGCAGUGGGGAAUUUUGCGCAAUGGGGGAAACCCUGACGCAGCAACGCCGCGUGGAGGAUGAAGCCCUUUGGGGCGUAAACUCCUUUCGACCAAGACGAUAAUGACGGUACUGGUGGAAGAAGCACCGGCUAACUCUGUG